UACGAAGGGGGCUAGCGUUGUUCGGAUUUACUGGGCGUAAAGGGCGCGUAGGCGGCGUAACAAGUCACUUGUGAAAUCUCCGGGCUUAACCCGGAGCGGCCAAGUGAUACUGUUGUGCUAGAGUGCGGAAGGGGCUACUGGAAUUCUCGGUGUAGCGGUGAAAUGCGUAGAUAUCGAGAGGAACACCUGCGGCGAAGGCGGGUAGCUGGGCCGACACUGACGCUGAGGCGCGAAGGCCAGGGGAGCGAACGGG
rnacentral:rRNA from 1 species